CCUUAUCAUUUAGAGGAAGGAGAAGUCGUAACAAGGUUUCCGUAGGUGNACCUGCGGAAGGAUCAUUGUCGAAMNCUGMRCRGCARAMCGNCCCGASAACCGGUWUCMAMRUCGGGKGNACGGYGGNCCUUCGGGCUYGGCGNUCCCCCURUCCCGGGAGCCCGCUCCCGGGCGUACCAACGAACACCGGCGCGUGCUGCGCCAAGGAACACGAACGAACGAGCGCGUUCCCGUCGCCCCGGAAACGGUGCGCGCGCGGGUGCGUCGUCCUCUUCAACGAGUCGAAACGACUCUCGGCAACGGAUAUCUCGGCUCUCGCAUCGAUGAAGAACGUAGCGAAAUGCGAUACUUGGUGUGAAUUGCAGAAUCCCGUGAACCAUCGAGUCUUUGAACGCAAGUUGCGCCCGAAGCCGUCAGGCCGAGGGCACGCCUGCCUGGGCGUCACACGCCGUUGCCCCCCCGCGCCUCCCUCGGGAGCGUCGGGGGGCGGACGAUGGCCUCCCGUGCGUCACCCCGCGCGGCUGGCACAAAUGCCGGGUCCUCGGCGAAGAACGCCACGACAAUCGGUGGUUGUCCAACCUCGGUUGCCCGUUGUGCGCUUUCGUCGCCCCACGAGCGGCCCGCGACGCUCRAUGSUCUGCUUCGGCSGAGCNUUCAACGCGACCCCMGKGCCAGCGGGGUUACCCGCUGAAUUUAA
rnacentral:misc_RNA from 1 species